CCUACGGGAGGCAGCAGUGAGGAAUAUUGGUCAAUGGACGAGAGUCUGAACCAGCCAAGUAGCGUGAAGGAUGAAUGCCCUAUGGGUUGUAAACUUCUUUUAUCUGGGAAUAAAAUGUUCCACGUGUGGGCUUUUGUAUGUACCAUAUGAAUAAGGAUCGGCUAACUCCGUGCCAGCAGCCGCGGUAAUACGGAGGAUCCGAGCGUUAUCCGGAUUUAUUGGGUUUAAAGGGAGCGUAGGUGGAUUGUUAAGUCAGUUGUGAAAGUUUGCGGCUCAACCGUAAAAUUGCAGUUGAAACUGGCAGUCUUGAGUACAGUAGAGGUGUGCGGAAUGCGUGGUGUAGCGGUGAAAUGCUUAGAUAUCACGAAGAACUCCGAUUGCGAAGGCAGCUCACUGGACUGCAACUGACACUGAGGCUCGAAAGUGUGGGUAUCAAACAGGAUUAGAUACCCCAGUAGUC
rnacentral:rRNA from 1 species